UACGUAGGCAGCAAGCGUUGUUCGGAAUUAUUGGGCGUAAAGAGCUCGUAGGCGGCUUGUCACGUCGAUUGUGAAAGCCCGAGGCUUAACCUCGGGUCUGCAGUCGAUACGGGCUAGCUAGAGUGUGGUAGGGGAGAUCGGAAUUCCUGGUGUAGCGGUGAAAUGCGCAGAUAUCAGGAGGAACACCGGUGGCGAAGGCGGAUCUCUGGGCCAUUACUGACGCUGAGGAGCGAAAGCGUGGGGAGCGAACAGG
rnacentral:rRNA from 1 species